AUUACUUUUACGCUUACGAGACAUACAUAUUAACAACUCGCAUUAUUCGAAAACGUCGUCUGGGCUACCGUAUUUAUUACUACUGGGUAAAUCAAUCAGCCCAGGAUUUUCGACGACAAGUUUGCCACUUCGAUAGAUGACGGAGCUAAUUACAACCGUGAUACGAUAAGUACCAGUUAAAAAUGUACCUAGCACUAUUCAAAUACGCAUUCACUAGAAAGAUCGCUUUAUGUUACUCGGGGUAUUUUCAGACGUGUUCGCUAACAGCUGGAAGAAUUUAACAGUUUUUUGCGGAUAUACACGCGGGACGGAAUAGGUUGUUAUCGACGUAUAACAUUGUUCGCGGAUAGUUGAUGAUAUCAUAAGCCAGCAGCAGAUAGAUCUCCUCUGCCUUAUUGUAGUUCUUGAAACAUCGUUAUUGUUAGUCUGCAUUUUGAAUGACUGAUUAACGAAAAGCGAUAACGAAUCAAAAUUGAAAUUAGGCGCCAGCGAGCACAAAACGGUUCUAGUCGCUCAUUCAGUGAUCUUCAGACUGACGUAGCGACUUGGUAUAUGCCAAUGCCUAUCCUGUACGGAUAGAGCCUAGUGUUUACGUAAUCGUCCUUACAGCAAAAGUUUUUCGUAGCCACGUCUUGUCGCAGUAAUCGAAAGAGCUAAAUCGUGAAAGCAGUGUAUGGCAGUCUAAUCUAUGGCAGACCAAUCAGCUGCGUUAGCCAAAGUAAUUGACUGAGCAGAAUUGAGAAAUAUGCUUAUUGAUAAGUCGAAAGCGACUGUUAUUCGUUGAACCCCACGCGAUAAUCGGAAAUGCACACGAACUGAGAGGAGAAAGUUAAACGACAGGACAAUGUGUCGUCAACGCCGUGAUUGUUAAACGUUCAGGCGCGCAGUAAACGGCACAUUGUCAGGACAUCAUGGUCUAGAUUUUUUUCCGAUUCCCCUGAAAGGAAAAGUCGGUAUACAAAACUACGCGCACGCGGUAACAGAUCUAAGGGGUAAUUGAAAUUAUUACUGGGCUGCACGAAGCAGCCCCGGCUGGAAGCCGGGCUACAUGCUAAACGUCUCUGAAUGUCACGCAAGGAUAUACUGAACAGCCAUUUACAUACGACCGUUUUCUACUCUAACCGUUUCUCGACGGAAGUAGCGACACAGCAAGAGCUCUUGUUUUCACUUUGCUACGAAUCCAAUGCCAUAUAACUGCUGACAUUUGCCAUCCUCAGAAUAAAACAUCUUCAACCCGCUUGUCGAGCCGUGCAAUAUUUACGCAUAAAGUGACCAGUAUUAUCAACUCCAGUUAGAACACGUGUGGGCAAGUUUGUUGUUUACAGCAACUAAUCUGAUUAUAAAAAACACGCUCUUCCUUGAAGCACACACAGAUCGUGUAACUUCAGAUAUCGUAGCUUGACACCGCCUCUGGCUCCAAAUAACAAAAAAAAGCGGAAAGAAGUGCUUUACCUAGAGCUCAGUAAUAGCUCACAAUUAUCCAAAAUCCGUUGGCGCGGUAAUAUUGGUAGUGAGCUACUUGGAAAGAUCAUAGUUAUUUGAGCCUAUAUAUCUUCUUCGCAGUAAAAUUGUCACCCCACGCGCUACAAAUUCUCUGGGUUGCCUACACUGCUUUUUGAUAUCGACAAAAGAUAGGCGUCCCAUAUUGACUAGUUUUUCGCUUGGCAUAGCCACAGAGCACAACACGGGAGUGUAACUCUGGGUAAGUGAUUUCGUCGGAGAUGGCCGAAUCACUUGACAGGCGAGAUUCAAAAAAAAAGUAGGAGCCAGACUCUAUUAUAUUUGUUUGUUUAAUCUAAGUUUAGGUUAAAUUUUAACGAAUGGGUAAUUUCACGGGUAAUUUUGAAUUGACGAAUUCAAUGCUUUUGAAAUAUGCGACAGUCUGGUAUGUUAAAACAAUUC